rnacentral:lncRNA from 1 species
UUCUGUAAGAAAGGAUACACUCUCUGACCCACUCCCUGAAAUGCAGGUUCCAGAGUUUUGGCUGUGCUAGACAUUCCGCGAUAUUCUUCCCACUGCUUACAGUUGUUUGCGCAGGAAGAGAAUAGAGAUUCUUCAACCUCCUAAACAGCGGUCUUUAAUUUCCCCAAGAAUCAACAAAGCAAGAAAAUAACAAUGAAGAAGUUAGCAAAAUAAACAAUUAAAUAUAAUGAUGUAAAGCAAUCAUUACAGCAUGUCCACAAGUAAUCUGAGAACAUCUAAUUCCUCCUUCCCAAGAAGUAAAGAAAAGAAACAGAUACACUUGACAUACAAUAUCAUGAAUUCUACAUAAAAAUUUUAAGGAGAGCCUGGAGUACAUCUUGGAAACCUGCCUCUCUAUUUAUGCAACUUCUUGGGCUUACAAUAAAUUCAUCCCUUUAAUCUACUCAUCUCUCUAGACUAAUGAAAACCUAGGAGAAUGAAAUAAUAGCUUCCUAUGUAAAAUACUAAAAUUAGACCCAUAAUAAAAAAUGUCACAACUUUUAGGACCAGAAAUUUCCUUCAAGGUUGCAGUAUUUUCGUUUUGAAAACAUUACAAAUAAGUUGUGAUUUUAAUAUUAGUGCAGCACCUUGAAUUUGCUGCAGAUCAUCUCAAUGUAUAAAUGAUAUAUUUGUUCCUUUUAGUAUCAUUCUUCCAGUUGUUUGAGUAAAAGAUAUAUUUCAAACAUAUCUCAAUGUAUUAUUCCAUUAAUUCAUACAUUUACGACUGGAACUUGGAAAAAAACCUGAAAGUAUGAUGCUUAUCCCGAAUAGUCUCAGCGGUUGAUAGCAACAGCGAAGUGUCUGCAAACCAUACCUCAACUUACGUGAAGAAAUAUACAAGUUUUCCAGAACUAAUUAACUAAAUAGAUAGAAAUUAGUUUUAAUCAGAGGUUUCUUAGAAGCCGAAGGCAGCAUAGAAAGGUUUGGCGCAAGACGAAUGAAAUGAGCUCUGCAGGUGUAAUUAUUUUCUCUUAUUACUAAUUCUAGAACUUCCAAGCUAAUUCAAGGUGAUAUAUCUUCUAUGGCUACAAAAAUUGUUCCUGGUGAAAUCUCCUAAUAAUUUGCCAAAGCAAAAAGAUACAGCUUCACAUGUUAUGAAAACAAUGCAGGCCUUCAUGGUUUAAAAACAAAUGAGAUGCAAAAUCAGCGAUAUCAAUGAGAAACAACUAAAUGCAAUGCAUAACGUAAAAUAAGAUAGCUAGCCGAACGAAUCCACAUUCAGGCGAUGAAGGAGCCACGGUACACUGCCAAUUAAUAAAAUCCACAAAAUGGAAACCAAACUUCAAAGAUUUUUUUCGCCUCAACAAUCCGUUGAAGAUAUUCUCAAUAUAUAAUAUGAUCAUCGAGUUAAUAAACAUUCAUGAUAGCCAUAAGGGACCUCCCUUCAGCAUAUAUUUCAAAAUUAACGGAUCAUAAGAGGAGUUAUCAAUGUCAGACAGUAACCCAUAUACGUAUAUUUAACUUUACCGAAUAUUAAAAAUAUAAUGAGAAACUAUCAGUAAACAGGACUUCAUUAUUCAGCGAAAAACGAAUACAUUGAAAAGAUUACAUCUUUCUACAGAUCAUCCUCCAAUUAGAUUAUGUGUAAAAUUAACAACAGUUACCGAAAACAUCUCUCAAAUAACCAUUACAGAUCAGAUAACAUCCCAAAAUUCAAAACAAACAAACUCAUAUCAAAAUUCAAAGAAAUGGGAUUUCAAGAACAAUUUUUCAAAUAAACAAACCUUAAACCAAUCCCUACAGUUCUCUCUCUUUCUUCGAAACAUAUGAUGAUAGGUGAUCAAGAAACGGGUGAAAGGUUUAAAUGCAAAGCUGGCAAACGACAAAAAGUAGUGAGAGAAGAAAUUUAAGCGAAAAAGAGGAUUGAAUGAUGUAAAUGUAAUGGGAUGGUUUGCUUUUAUUUUCAGAACAUCUCGUUAUAN